CUCAGUCGCAUUCCCCUUCACUGAUUUUUUAAUGCUGUUUGUGCUAAACAUUUUCUAUAAACCUCUCUUAACAUUAUUUUUAAAUGUUAGUGAGAUAGUCUGAUAUAGUCUAAAUUUAUUCUAAAUCAUAGAAUGAUAAAGCUGAAAGAAAAAUAAAAUUUGAUCUAUGAGACUAAUAUUUUAAACUAUAAUUUGAUAAGAAAAUAAAC
rnacentral:lncRNA from 1 species